rnacentral:lncRNA from 1 species
AUCCAAUCAGAAUAUGUAGUCCAGGAACGGCAUUUGCAUAACCUCGGUAUAUAAAGCAUGGUGAGGUCGCAUCAGGUCAUUUCAGGCUCUGCUGUGUCAAGUCGGGGAGCGGCUCUUUGCUCAGCUUAGAGAACUGGAAGAGGCCGCAACCUUCUGCCUGCUGGAGGCUGGAGGAUGGAUGGAGCCUGGAGCCUGGGACACUACCUUGCUGUGGUUGGUGGUGGCGACAGAGCAGUAAGAGGGUGGCCGGCAGCAGGAGCUUGUCCUGCUGGGCUGGAGGACUAGGAGAAGGAAGAGGCACCACCACAUGCUGGAGGCUGAAGCCUGGAGUCUGUGCCACCAUGGCUCGCCUCGCUGUGGUUGGUGGUGACGCUGGAGACUGCAGCUGGGCCACAGUGGUAGAAAUGUGAUGGGGUAGGUUUUUGGGGAACAGGUGGCGUUUGAUUGUAAGAGUAAGUUCCUUAGAGGUUGGAAACACUCUCUUUGUGGAAUCUAUGAAGGGACAUUUUGAAGCCCUUUGAGGCCUAUAGUGAAAAACCAAACACCCUGUGAUAAAAAUUAGAUGCAAGCUAUAUAUGAAAAUGCUUUGUAAUGUGUAGAUUUAUCUCACAGAAUUAAACCUUUGUGUUUACACAGAAUUUUGGAAACACUCUAUUAAUAGAAUCUAAAAGGAAAUAAUUCUGAGCCCAUUGAGGCCUAUAGCGAAAAACCGAAUAUCUUGCGAUAAAAACUUGAAACAAGCUGUCUAUAAAAAUACUUUGUGAUAUGUGGACUCACCUCAAAGAGUUAAACUUUUCUUUUGAUUAAGCAGGUUAGAAACAUUCUUUUGUAGAAUCUACAAGGGGCAUUUCUGAACCCACUGAGGCCUAUAGUGAAAAACAGAAUAUUACAGGAUAAAAUCUAGAAAAAACAUAUCUGUGAAAAUGCUUUGCAAUAUGUGGCUUCUUCUCACAAUGUAAAACCUUUGUUUUGAUUUAGCAAGUUGGAAACUCUCUUUUUGUACAAUUUGUGAGGAGACAUUUCGAAGACCAUUGAGGCAUGUAGUGAAAAACUAAAUAUCCCAUGAUAAAAACUAGAAACAAGCUAUCUGUGAAAAUGCUUUGUGAUGUGUGGAUUUAGCUCACAGAGUUAAACCUUUGUUUUUUAUACCACAGUUUUCAAACACUCUUUUAGUAGAAAGUAAAGGAAGACAUUUCUGAUCCCAUCAAGGCCUAUAGUGAAAAACCGAAUAUCCAGCGAUAAAAACUAGAAACAAGCUAUCUGUGAAAAUGCUUUGCAAUGUGCAGAUUCAUCUGACAGGGUUAAAUCUUUGUUUUGAUUCAACAGGUUAGAAACAGUUUUUGUACAAUCUACAAAGGGACAUUUUGGAGCACAUUGACGCCUACAGUGUGAAUCCAAAUAUUUUGCGAUAAAAACUAAAAAUAAGCUAUUCUUUGAAAAUGCUUUGUGAUGUGUACAAUCAUCUCACAGAGUUAAACCAUAUUUACAUACAGCAGUUUAGAAACACUCUUUUUGUAGAAUUUAAGAAGGUACAAUUAAGAUUCCAUUGAAGCUUAUAGUUAAAAACCAAAUAUUCAGCAAUAAAAACUAGAAACAAGCUAUCUGAAAAAUGCUUUGCAAUGUGUGAUUUGAUAUCACAGAGUUAAACCUUUAUUUUGAUUCAGAAAAAAAUAAACUUUUUUUUCUGGAAUCUACGAAGAGACAUUUUGGAGCCCAUUGAGGCCAAUAGUGAAAAAUUGAAUGUCUCAUGAUAAAAGCCAGAAACAAACUAUCUGUGAAAAUGCCUUGCAACAUGUGGAUUCGUCUCACAGAGUUAAACCUUUGUUUUUAUUGAGCAG